AGCUCUGAUAAUAUAUAUUAAAGUUAUUACACUUAAACAGCUCAUAGUCGGAUUUUUUGCUCAUUAUGUUGGUCCGAUCUUGUGAGUGUUCACCAUACAUGUAUGACCAGCCUUUGGGAGAGUCACAGUGGCAUUGUAUUGUUGGUGUGGGGAUCCCAAACAUGUAUUGUGAAAAAUUAGAGUAUGCAAAGCAGAAUUACAUCAUUUGAUAUAUUAGUAUGACAUUAUACCAUACGACUAUUGUACUAUAUUGUUUAUUUUUGCAUAAUAGGUCUGAUUACCAGGAACAAUUGGGGUAUUUGUAUUAUAUUGUCAGAGAUGAAAUUCUUUGAUUUUUUUGGAAGACAAAUAACUAUGAAAGCAUUUACCAAAGAUAUGUUAA
rnacentral:rRNA from 1 species